GCCUUAUCCACACAAAAGGAAGUGCUAUCAUGCAGCUUUUUCCCAUAUUGCGUGUUAUUUAAAUGUGGAAUCUGUCCCUCUGUGUUCUUUGCAGGAUGUUGUUUCUCAUAGCAAAAAUCUUAGCAAGGAGAACAAGGAACAGCUCUGUGACGUGAUGACGCUGAACGAGCAAAAGGGAGGUUUGAAAGCUUGGAGCAAAGAGGAGAGGGAAAAGCUGGAAGCCUAUCAGCAUCUUUUCUACUUGAGUGUUGAGGCGCUGUCUGUCUUUGUGGUGUUGGCUUUUGUGGACACGUGCUGUAUGGGAACUGCUGAGUCAUGGCCUGAACCUCUGAUUGAUCACCUGAGGCGAGCAGUGAGUCAGGCAGAGGAGCACAGGUGAAGGCAAUGCAGCUGUGCUGCUGGAAGGGGUGCAGCCAGGCUACAGCCCUCCUAGACCUGUUUAAGAGCUGGCUACCAGUGGGGAAGGAUCUCGUCUGGAGAUCUGCUCUGCUGGAGUUUUGUAAGUGAGCCCAGGAUAGGGACUACUCCAACGUACUUGGCCAAGCUGCUUUUGCAGAUGCCUCAAAACAAACCCACAGAGUUCAUGGAUUCAGCCAUCUUCACGCUGCAUAACUACGCAUCCAGUCAGAGAGAGGAAUCUCUGCUGUUGCGGCUGUUGCAAACAGCAUUGCAGGAAGAGAUCAAGUACGUUGUAGCGUAGGACACAGCCUUGCUGUUGCCUGAGUUUGGGCCGCUGCUAAAAUUGCAGCUGUUGUUGUGUGAUGUCCCGUGCUCAUUAGCUGAUAAUGCUGACCUGUCCCUGCCUUCUGCUCAUGCUGUUUCACGUCAGUCCUUUCUGUAACCUGGAAGGAGGAGGAAUUACCUUUGUUCUUUAGGAUUAAAGCCAUUUUUCU